rnacentral:lncRNA from 1 species
CAGUAGAGAUCCUCAGAGUUCUGGAGCAAUACACAGAUGUUUUUGAAGAACCAAAAGGGCUUCCUCCCAGGCGAGCUUGCGAACACAGAAUUCCCCUCAUGGAAGGGGCGCAACCUGUCAUGAACAAUUGUCAGUAAGUAUUCGGUUACCCAACACAAUGCUCUGUCGUACGUCUCAAGAACUGCUGACAGCAUGCAAGCAAGGCUCUGUAGCAUUUGUGGUGCACUUCAAUGCAGUAAAUGAAGCAGGCUUACAAGAGGAUGCUACCCCAGUAGAGAUCCUCAAAGUUCUGGAGCAAUACACAGAUGUUUUUGAAGAACCAAAAGGGCUUCCUCCCAGGCGAGCUUGCGAACACAGAAUUCCCCUCAUGGAAGGGGCGCAACCUGUCAAUCAACGGCUGUACCGGCACAAACCAGAACUCAAAAAUGAGAUCGAGCGUCAGGUUAAAGAGCUGCUUGACGCCGGCAUUAUCAGGGAAAGUACAAGUCCGUUCUCUUCCCC